UACGUAGGGGGCAAGCGUUGUCCGGAAUUAUUGGGCGUAAAGCGCGCGCAGGCGGUUAGUUAAGUUGGGUGUUUAAGCCCGGGGCUCAACCCCGGUUCGCAUCCAAAACUGGUUGACUUGAGUGUAGGAGAGGAAAGUGGAAUUCCACGUGUAGCGGUGAAAUGCGUAGAUAUUGGGAGGAACACCAGUGGCGAAGGCGGCUCACUGGACCGGAACUGACGCUGAGGCGCGGAAAGCGUGGGGAGCAAACAGGG
rnacentral:rRNA from 1 species